AGUGAACGCUGGCGGUAGGCCUAACACAUGCAAGUCGAACGGCAGCACAGUAAGAGCUUGCUCUUACGGGUGGCGAGUGGCGGACGGGUGAGGAAUACAUCGGAAUCUGCUUUUUCGUGGGGGAUAACGUAGGGAAACUUACGCUAAUACCGCAUACGACCUCCGGGUGAAAGCAGGGGAUCUUCGGACCUUGCGCGAUUGAAUGAGCCGAUGUCGGAUUAGCUAGUUGGCGGGGUAAAGGCCCACCAAGGCGACGAUCCGUAGCUGGUCUGAGAGGAUGAUCAGCCACACUGGAACUGAGACACGGUCCAGACUCCUACGGGAGGCAGCAGUGGGGAAUAUUGGACAAUGGGCGCAAGCCUGAUCCAGCCAUACCGCGUGGGUGAAGAAGGCCUUCGGGUUGUAAAGCCCUUUUGUUGGGAAAGAAAAGCAGCAGGUUAAUACCCCGCUGUUCUGACGGUACCCAAAGAAUAAGCACCGGCUAACUUCGUG
rnacentral:rRNA from 1 species